GGCAGUACCUCUGUUCUACUGUGGGGCAGAAGGCAGGACUCACGGAUGACCUCCACCAUGGCCUGGUUCCCUCUCCUCUUUAGCCUCCUGGCUCACUGCACAGGUUCCUGGGCCCAAGCUGUGCUGACUCAGCCUCCCUCAGUGUCUGGGUCUCCAGGACAGACGGUCACCAUCUCCUGCACUGGAAGCAGCACCAAUAUUGGGGGUGGCUAUUAUGUCCACUGGUACCAGCAGCUCUCAGGAACAGUUCCCAAACUCAUCAUCUAUGAAAAUAGCAAUCGACCCUCCGGGGUCUCUGAUCGGUUCUCUGGCUCCAAAUCUGGCAGCUCAGGCUCCCUGACCAUCAGUGGGCUCCAAUCUGAGGACGAGGCUGAUUAUUACUGUCAGUCUUAUGAUAGCAGCCUGAAUGCUCACACAGUGCUCCAGCCCCAUGGGGAAGCUAACACAAAAGCUUCUUCCUCUUGCAGAAGAAGAAGAAGUGUGGCUCAGGCCUGGUCUGUGGUUUCUACUUUUGCUGCCACUGUAGUAUCAGUGUGCGCAAAGACAACACUUGGGCUGAGGUUCCUCUUGACCUCUGCCCUCUGA